GGGGUUGUGGCUCAGUGGUAGAGCACUUGCCUAGCAUGCGUGAGGCACUGGGGUUCAAUCCCCAGCACCACCU
rfam:Ictidomys tridecemlineatus contig049178, whole genome shotgun sequence.